GGAGUAGUACUCAAGUUUGGUUAAGAGGCCUCUCUGCUAAAGAGGUAGUUGGGGAAACCCAUUCGCAGGUUCAAAUCCUGUCUACUCCACCA
rnacentral:tRNA from 1 species